rnacentral:piRNA from 1 species
UCUCCUACUCAACAAGCUCAUCCAAAA